rnacentral:rRNA from 1 species
AGUGAACGCUGGCGGUAGGCCUAACACAUGCCAGUCGAACGGCAGCACAGUAAGAGCUUGCUCUUACGGGUGGCGAGUGGCGGACGGGUGAGGAAUACAUCGGAAUCUACUUUUUCGUGGGGGAUAACGUAGGGACACUUACGCUAAUACCGCAUACGACCUACGGGUGAAAGCAGGGGAUCUUCGGACCUUGCGCGAUUGAAUGAGCCGAUGUCGGAUUAGCUAGUUGGCGGGGUAAAGGCCCACCAAGGCGACGAUCCGUAGCUGGUCUGAGAGGAUGAUCAGCCACACUGGAACUGAGACACGGUCCAGACUCCUACGGGAGGCAGCGGUGGGGAAUAUUGGACAAUGGGCGCAAGCCUGAUCCAGCCAUACCGCGUGGGUGAAGAAGGCCUUCGGGUUGUAAAGCCCUUUUGUUGGGAAAGAAAAGCAGCAGGUUAAUACCCCGCUGUUCUGACGGUACCCAAAGAAUAAGCACCGGCUAACUUCGU